GAUUUCAGCUGAAAAAGUCAUCAACAACAAAGUUGUAUAACUAAUCAAGAUAUAUAACUUCUAUGUUAGUCAUUUCUUCAUCCGAUAAAGUUUAUUAUAAGAUUGUUCACAAAAUGUACAUCUCUAUUAUAGUUUUAUAAACUAUAUAAGAGAUAUGCACAUUUUGUGAACAAUCUCACAAAUCACUUUGUCGGAUGAAGAAUUGACCAAAAUAAAAGUUAUAGAUCUUGAUGAUUUAUACAACUUUGUUAUUGAUGACUUUUUCAGUUGAAAUC
rnacentral:pre_miRNA from 1 species